rnacentral:rRNA from 1 species
UACGGAGGGUGCAAGCGUUAUCCGGAUUCACUGGGUUUAAAGGGUGCGUAGGAGGGUGAGUAAGUCAGUGGUGAAAUCUUCGAGCUUAACUCGGAAACUGCCGUUGAUACUACUUGUCUUGAAUACCGUGGAGGUGAGCGGAAUACGUCAUGUAGCGGUGAAAUGCUUAGAUAUGACAUAGAACACCAAUUGCGAAGGCAGCUCACUACACGAAUAUUGGCUCUGAGGCACGAAAGCGUGGGGAUCAAACAGG